rnacentral:rRNA from 1 species
UCUAUGGAGAGUUUGAUCCUGGCUCAGGACGAACGCUGGCGGCGUGCCUAAUACAUGCAAGUCGAGCGGAGAUUUGAAAAGCUUGCUUUUCAAA